rnacentral:rRNA from 1 species
GAUCAUGGCUCAGGAUGAACGCUAGCUACAGGCUUAACACACGCAAGUCGAGGGCAGCAUGAUCGAAGCUCGCUUUGAUUGACUGGCGACCGGCGCACGGGUGAGUAACGCGUAUCCAACUUCCCUAUAGUAGAGAAUAGCCCGGCGAAAGUCGGAUUAAUGCUCUAUGUUGUAUUUAGAAGACAUCUGAAGAAUACCAAAGGUUUACCGCUAUAGGAUGGGGAUGCGUCUGGAUUAGGUAGUAGGCGGGGUAACGGCCCACCUAGCCGACGAUCAGUAGGGGUUCUGAGAGGAAGGUCCCCCACAUUGGAACUGAGACACGGUCCAAACUCCUACGGGAGGCAGCAGUGAGGAAUAUUGGUCAAUGGACGGAAGUCUGAACCAGCCAAGUAGCGUGCAGGAUGACGGCCCUAUGGGUUGUAAACUGCUUUUAUAUAGGGAUAAAGUCGGGGACGUGUCCCCGUUUGUAGGUACUAUAUGAAUAAGGACCGGCUAAUUCCGUGCCAGCAGCAGC